UCCCCCCUCGGCGUUGUCAGGAGGCUGCAGCUUUGUUUUGCCAAGGCUGAGUGAAUGAAGGCAUCGUGUCCUGCAGAUCUGUAGGAGAGAUACCUCUAUAGCAAGGUAUGUAACCAGGGGCUUCUCUGCCCGCUGUUCCCCAGCAGCACCCCAUGUACAGAGAAACGUGCUGGUGUUUAUGGCAUGGCCUUGGUGACUGGCUGCCUUGGCGCUGUUGGCUUACAAGAGACCAUGAAGAAGAGGAGUCAAGGACUUUGAAGGCAUUUACAGCUGAGGUUAACUUCCAGAACAAGGGCUGCAGAAUCACAACACACAGUAUUGCUUGGAGCCUGUGCUGUAGCUGAAGGCAAACGCGUGUCUGGUGACCAUAAAGGCAGGGUUAGACCAAGAGGCAUCCAGAGUCCUUUCCACCUGUAUUUUUCUGUGGUUCUGUGCCUGAUCCCACUGACCUGUGUGGUUUGCUUUACGAGGAGUGAAAGAAAGAGAAAAAAGCAUUAGGAAACAUGUAGAAAUGGAGCAAUAUUCCUGUGUGCUGCAAGCUCUGCCGGGGAGCAGAUGCUAGCUGCCUUUUUUCUUCCGGAUGAACGUAUUUAACUGCAAAGACAACUGCUGUUGCUGUGGCGUUGCCAGAUGGAGCUGCACAUGGACUUGGGGCAAGUGGGAAUGUUGAGGGGUGUGGGUAACUGGCUAGCUGAAAAGGGUCACAUAGACAUAGUCCAGCUGGCUGGACAAAAAUGCACAUCGCUCUCAGCUUAGCUGAAGUAAAGCAAAAAUACACUGUCUUUGGCUGUCCUUGUUACACAAUAACAGGAAGAUUUUGGUGGGAAAAGAAUGUUGCAGGUGGGAACAGGUAACUACAGAAGAGAAACAAGGGGCGGGCUUGGUAUUUA